rnacentral:misc_RNA from 1 species
AACGCACAUUGCGCCCGCUAGUACUCUAGCGGGCAUGCCUGUUCGAGCGUCAUUUCAACCCUCAAGCUCUGCUUGGUGUUGGGGCACUAUAGUGGAUAUAGGCCCUGAAAAACAGUGGCGGGCUCACUAUAACUCCGAGCGUAGUACAUACCUCGCUUAGGGCGUUAUAUUGGGAUCUAGCCUUCUCCUUCUCUUAAAUGGUUGACCUCGAAUCAGGUAGGAAUACCCGCUGAACUUAA